rnacentral:rRNA from 1 species
GAUGAACGCUGGCGGCGUGCUUAACACAUGCAAGUCGAACGAUGAAGCCCAGCUUGCUGGGUGGAUUAGUGGCGAACGGGUGAGUAACACGUGAGUAACCUGCCCUUAACUCUGGGAUAAGCCUGGGAAACUGGGUCUAAUACCGGAUAGGAGCGUCCACCGCAUGGUGGGUGUUGGAAAGAUUUAUCGGUUUUGGAUGGACUCGCGGCCUAUCAGCUUGUUGGUGAGGUAAUGGCUCACCAAGGCGACGACGGGUAGCCGGCCUGAGAGGGUGACCGGCCACACUGGGACUGAGACACGGCCCAGACUCCUACGGGAGGCAGCAGUGGGGAAUAUUGCACAAUGGGCGCAAGCCUGAUGCAGCAACGCCGCGUGAGGGAUGACGGCCUUCGGGUUGUAAACCUCUUUCAGUAGGGAAGAAGCGAAAGUGACGGUACCUGCAGAAGAAGCACCGGCUAACUACGUG